rnacentral:lncRNA from 1 species
CUGUUUAACCCCGUCACACAUGUAUGUCUGUUUAACCCCCGUUCACCACACUGUAUGUUGUUUAAACCCCGUUCACACACUGUAUGUCUGUUUAACCCCCGUUCACACACUGUGUGUCUGUUUUAACCCCGUUCCACACACUGUGUGUCUGUUUAACCCCUGUUCACACACUGUAUGUCUGUUUAACCCCCGUUCACACACUGUAUGUCUGUUUAAUGUCUGUUUAACCCCGUUCACACACUGUGUGUCUGUUUACCCCCGUUCACAUACUGUAUGUCUGUGUUAACCCCCGUUUCACACACUGUGUGUCUGUUUAACCCCGUUCACACACUGUAGUCUGUUUAACCCCGUUCACACACUGUGUCUGUUUAAGUCUGUUUACCCCGUUCACACACUGUAUGUUUUUCUGUUGUUUAACCCCGUUCACCACACUGUGUCUGUGUAAUGUCUGUUUAAC